rnacentral:misc_RNA from 1 species
AUAUAUUAUUAUAAAGUAUAUAGCUUAUACAUGUGUAGUUAUAUUUUUUAACAUAAAUACAUACUUUUAAUAAUAACGUAAUAUAUGCCAUAGUAUUUAUUUUUUUUAAAUUUUAUGUACUUAUAUUUGUGGUAUCUAAAAGUAACGGAAAUGAGAAUACUAGUAUGAAACAAUAGUCGAUUUGUUAAUUAUGAUAUGUAUCAUAACAUUUUGAUUUAUUUCAUCUUUAAAAAUACGUUAAAGUAAUAUAGCAAACUUAAUUAUUCGUUCACAUGAUAACAUAAAAAUAUAAUAUAUGUAUUAUUUUUAUAUUUAAGUUAGAUAUUAGGGUAUGUCUAAUCAAAUUCACUAUAAAUCUUAUCUUUACAUCUACGAAGAUUACAAAAUAAAAUGCUACUAUCGAGAAUUUUUGAUAGACAAUAGAAGUUCUCUUUCGAUAUAACAAUUGAAAUAUUACUCAAAUAUCACUUACAUUUAACCUUACGUGCUACGAAUACUUAAUUAAUAACGAAAAAAAGUUGCUUUACCCUUGCUAUUAAACGAUGAUCGAGCAUAUAUGUAAAUUGUUCUCAAAAAGAGAAACAAAGUUUUCUUUUAUAGUUGCAGAGUCAUCGACUUUCAAAAACAUAUGGACAACCUGGUGCGGUAUUAACAAAUACACUCCAAAAUUUGAUCUUUACAUGGACAGCAUGGCUGCAAUGACCGCUGAAAAAAUGAGGCAUGCUGGAUCUAAAUAUUGGUGGAUAAUACAUCCAUUUAGUUACGCUAGACAAUUUACAGAUUAAUAUGGGAUACCUUGAUGGUGGCAAUAUAUUUGCUUGCUUUUUUUACAAUCCCUUUUAUGGUUUGUUUUGUUAUAAUGGAUUACGAAAUAAUUCGUCUGGAUAUAGUAAAUAUUCCAAUUUAUGCGAUCUGCUGGUUAGAUAUAAUAUUUAACUUUAUCACGGGAUAUUAUGACGAAAAAACUACUUCUAUUGAGUUGAAACCUAUCAAGAUACUUAUGUGAGACGUCAUAUUUAGUAUUUCAUGAACUCUUUCUGUUUAUUUAAUUGUUUUUUAAAAUUAAUUUAUUCUCAAUGUUAAAUAUUUUUUGUAGGCUCUAUUUGAAAAGAUUUCUUGUGCCAGAUAUGCUGUCAUCUUUUCCGUAUGAUCAUAUAACACUGCGAUGGCGAAGAUUACCAGGAAAUAAUCCUUAUUAUGUUGUUAUUUUAAUUAAUAUC